rnacentral:misc_RNA from 1 species
GAUGAAGAACGUAGCGAAAUGCGAUACUUGGUGUGAAUUGCAGAAUCCCGUGAACCAUCGAGUCUUUGAACGCAAGUUGCGCCCGAAGCCAUUAGGCCGAGGGCACGCCUGCCUGGGCGUCACACGUCGUUGCCCCCCCAUCUACUCCUUCGGGAUUGCGGGGGGCGGAUGAUGGCCUCUCGUGCGCCUCGUCGCGCGGUUGGCCUAAAUGCCAAGUCCUCGGCGACGCACGCCACGACAAUCGGUGGUUGCGAAACCUCGGUUGCCUGUCGUGUGCGGUCGUCGCGCAUCGNNGGCUCGAAAAAAUUGCCGGGCUUCGGCUCGACUUUCAACGCGACCCCAGGUCAGGCGGGGUUACCCGCUGAAUUUAAGCAUAUCAAUAAGCGGAGGA